GGAAAUUCCAAUUUUUGAGGAGCCUCUGGUGAAUCAGUUAGAAGAAAGGUAUACAAGGAGCAUAAAGAAGGUAUAAAAGGACUAUGAAAGAAGACUAGCUCAGGCAUCUGCAUUUCAUGAGCUGAAAAAAAGACUUGUGUCAUGCUCCCAAGGAAGUAAAAAGGGUCAUGAAACGAAGACAAAAGCUACUGAAAAGCUUUUUGAAACCAUGUCAUUAAAAGUAAACCGAAAUCAUUCAGAUCUGGAUAAAUG
rnacentral:lncRNA from 1 species